UCUCCGGCGGACGCCGGGCUCAGGGGCACGUGCUGCCCCCGCCCCUGUGCGCCUGCGGCUUCUAGCUCGCAGUCCCCUGCGCCGAGCUUUCGCCUGGCUUUCCGCGGGAGCCUUCCCGCGGGUCCUCGGCUGGCAAGUACAGGGAGCGAUGGAGAAGGAAGUUAGGGCUGCCGCUUUCUCUCCCCACUCCAGCGGCGGCGUUCAGUCCUCUGGGCGGGAUGUGCUCGCAGCAGCAGUGGCGGCGGCGGCAGCAGCGGAGGCGCCCGAGCCAUGCACCCCGCAGGCGGGGACGAGAGGAUGGCCGAGAGGAAGAGACCGGGGUGAACCAGCCCAGUGAAGUGCCAGGGCCGCAGAGCUGCGCCGGAAAUCUGUCCUGGAGAAGCCUUCUCCUCCAGCCUGGACACUUUAAGCAGAGGUGGCGGCAUACAGCGUGAGGCUGCACAGCGGACGGCGAGCCUCCCUAGUUCCGACGUUGCUCUGACCUGCGGAGAUGACAAGUGAGCAGGAAGUGUCCGGCCGGGCCAUCCCCUUCAGAAAAUCAUGCAUACAGGGACCGAAGCAGUGAUUUAUGCUGUGACAUAAUAUGUUUUUGACACAAAAAGUACUUGUCAAAAAUGCAAGAUACAAAAGCAGCUAUUCUAAGUGUUUUAAAGGGAAGAAGGAAAAUCUGGCUUUCUUCAGUCAAUAAUACAUCUGACAUAAAUAAUGACUGAAAACUGACAGCUACAAGAUGUGAUUUAGGUGCUCUGAAUUCGUCAAGAUGAAAAGGCAGAGGAUGUUUUUCAAAAGAGCACUUAAGGGACUUCCCUCGUGGUCCAGUGAUAAAGAAUCCACCUUCCAAUGCAGGGGACGCAGGUUCAAUCCCUGGUCGGGGAACAAAGAUCCCACAUGCCGCGGGGCAACUAAGCCUGCGCGCCACAACUACUGAGCUCGCAUGCCUCAACUAGAGCCUGUGUGCUGCAAACUACAGAGCCCACACGCCCUGGAGCCCAUGCGCCACAACUAGAGAAGAGAAAACCCACACGCCACAACUAGACAGAAGCCCGCGCACCACAACGAACAAACCACGCGCCCCAACGAAAGAUCCCACGUGCCUCAAGGAAGAUCCCAUGUGCAACUAAGACCUGACGCAGCCAAAUAAAUAAAUAAAUGAGCACUUAAAACCGCAGCAG